AUUGAACGCUGGCGGCAGGCCUAACACAUGCAAGUCGAGCGAGUGGCGGACGGGUGAGUAAUGUCUGGGAAACUGCCUGAUGGAGGGGGAUAACUACUGGAAACGGUAGCUAAUACCGCAUACCAUCGGAUGUGCCCAGAGGGGAUUAGCUAGUAGGUGGGGUAACGGCUCACCUAGGCGACGAUCCCUAGCUGGUCUGAGAGGAUGACCAGCCACACUGGAACUGAGACACGGGCCAGACGCCUACGGGAGGCAGCAGUGGGGAAUAUUGCACAAUGGGCGCAAGCCUGAUGCAGCCAUGCCGCGUGUAUGAAGAAGGCCUUCGGGUUGUAAAGGACUUUCAGCGGGGAGGCGUUACCCGCAGAAGAAGCACCGGCUAAUUCCGUGCCAGCAGCCGCGGUAAUAC
rnacentral:rRNA from 1 species